ensembl:lncRNA
AAAACAAAUGUUUUGUCAUACCCUUGGUAUAUGGUCUGAUAUACCAUGGCUGUCAACACAUAAUUGAAAUGUACACUCCUUGUUAAAAUAAAACAAAUGUGUCUCCCGUCCCCCUCUUCACGUAAAGCCUACAUGCCUUCAGCAUGGCAGGUUAUGUGUUGUAAUACAAAUCUGCUGCUGAGCCAUGAGAUUGGACACCAGAGAAUUGGCGAUACCUCCGGUCAGAUGUGGUCAACAGCUUGGUGCGAGCAAUCCUCUCGUUAUCACCGCGUUAGUUGUUACGCCUUGACGGGGCAUCAUCCUCCCGACCUGUCCUGUAUCACCUGUCCCUUUGAGCCAAGCACACGCGCCUCUCAGCUCCUCCUCAGCGGGUCCUCGCUCGACUUGAAAAUGAGGUCGCCGCAUUAUUAUUUCAAGGUUAUUUCCUUUUCUUUAAGGCCUUUAUAUUCAGAUCCUAUGGGAGUUCUUAUUUUCACGGCGUUGCUUUGGACCUUCAGUGGAGUGGGAUGCCUUCCUCUAUCCUCCUCUCUACCGAUUGGAAAGGUUGCUGACUGUAUUCAGGACUCUCUGAAGAGUAACAGCGGUGUGCCACAUUCUGGCUGUGACAAACGGAGAACAGAUGAUGCUGUCAACAGGCACCAGGGUCUCCUGAGAGAGCUGCAGGAUCUAGCCCAGGAGGGUCAGUCUGACUACGAGAGGGAAAAAGAGAGAGAGUAUGGGAGGGAGAACGAGCGAUAUGAGGAGAACCAGGCUGAGGGAGAGAGGGACAGAGAGGGGAGGAAGGAGGAGCAGAAUAAUGACAAGAAGGAGACUGAGAAAGAAGAGCUGAGAGAGAAAGAGACGAAGGCAGAUGGGGUAGAGGAGGAGGAGAAGGUGGAGAUGAAGGACAGAACAAAUGAGGAGAUAAGGGAAGAGCCCAGACUGGAGGAGAAAAGGGGGGAUGAGGAAGAGAGCGCCAAAGAGUUGGAGGAGCUCCUCGCAAAGGAGAUAAGGAAGAUAGGAGAGGAGGAAAAAGAGGACAGGGAGCUUGAGGAGCUGCUCAAGGAGCUGAAGAAGAAAAGGUACGAGUCUGUGAAGGAGAAAGAGCUCCAGAGAGGGUCAGAAGCUGAGGAGGAGAGGAAGAAGGAUGAGGAGGAGGAGCAGAAAAAGGGAGAGAAAGAGCAGCUAGAUAUUCUUGAGAAGGAAGAGAGGAAACGCAGCGAGGAGAGGAAGAACAAUGAGGUGGAGCGGGAGCUCAAGGAGCUGCUGGAGGAACAGGACAGCAUGAAGAAUGUGGAGAAGGAGAAAGAGAGGGAGGAAAAACAGGAGGAACUGGAGGAGCUCCUCAAAAAGAUGAAACGUGUGCAAGAGGAGGAGGAGCGAGAAGAGGAGGAGAGGAAGAGAGGGAAUGCCAGGGAUGAGGUGAAAGUGGACAAAGAGAGCCAGAAGGAGGGAGAGAUUCACAAGGAAUUGGAGAAGGUGAAAGAAAGAGAGAGUGAGGAGGUUAAGGAGCCUCAGCAGAAGAGAGUGAUGGAGAAAGCGAGUGAUGAGUCGACCCGUCAGUUUGAAAAGGAGAGGAACAGGGACGAUGAUGAUGACGACGAUGAUGAAGAAGCAGAUGAGGAAGAUGAUGAUGAAAACAUUGAGGAUUGGGAAGAGGAAGAGGAGGAUGAGGACAAAAAGGAGGAUGUUGAGGAGGAUGAAGGAGCGGAGCUUCUGGAGAUUGAGGCAGAGCUGCGAAAAGUGGCUGCAGAGCUUCGGGAGCUUCACAGGAGUCGUUAAGUUCUAAAUUACACACACACACACACACACACACACACACACACACACACACACACACACACACACACACACACACACACACACACACACACACACACACACACACACACACACACACUGAAAGACAAACAACACAAAACAGACAGAUAAUGACACAAUGCAGCUCUCUCUCUCAUGCUAUCACACACAGAAACACACACAACUAACUUACUUAGUAACAUGGUAUAAUCAUAAUGCUUUUGAUGGGAUGUACUUCUGUAAGUAGUUGCAUUUUAGAACAAGCAUACAGGUACACUUCUCCCCAUCCCUUAACUCUCAUAUUGCAUUCAGAGAUUACAAGUUCUUUAGAUGUCAGUCUUUCUGUGUGCUGCCAUUAUCAAAGAUGGUUUAGUAGGCAAAAUGUACAACCUUGCAAAGCUAUAGUUAGUCUACAUCUCAUAAUAUGUGGGAAAGAGGUCUCCUUUACGAUAUGUCUCGUGUAUAUAUUUUGUGCAAUAAUUAAAAAUCAGUGUGUGGGAUUUGUUAAGGUCAUUGUGGCUUUUAAUGUAAGCAAUGUAUCACUGGUAUUUGUAAUAUUGACAUUUUGAUUCCUAUGAUUGAUUUCCAUGUGCAUGUCAACAAAAUGUGAGGAUUGUGCUAUCUGGCUAAUGCACUGUUAAUAGCAGACUGUUAAUGAAGAACUGGGGUGCCACUCCAGGAGAAUCUUAAUUGCAAAAUCCUUGCGUCCUCUCUCCUCCUUUUCAAAACUCAUUGUAAGAGAAGACCAGAGGGGCGGGACAUCUGGCUUUCUCCUCCAAUGGUGUUUGAGAAGGAGAUGAGGACAUGAGGAGUAUUCAACUGAGAUCUUCCCUCAGAAAGAGGUGUGUGACCACGGAAACCUCUUUAGUAUUGAUGUACACUACCGUUCAAAAGUUCUGGGUCACUUAGAAAUGUCCUUGUUUUCCAUGAAAACAUACAUGAAAUGAGUUGCAAAAUUAAUAGUAAAUAUAGUCAAGAUGUUGACAAUGUUAUAAAUAAUGAUUUUUCAUUUAAAUAAUAAUUGUAUCCUUCAAACUUUGCUUUCGUCAAAGAAUCCUCCAUUUGCAGCAAAUACAGCCUUGCAGACCUUUGGCAUUCUAAUUGUCAAUUUGUUGAGGUAAUCUGAAGAGAUGUCACCCCAUGCUUCCUGAAGCACCUCCCACAAGUUGGAUUGGCUUGAUGGGCACUUUUUAUGUACCAUACGAUCAAGCUGCUCCCAUACCAGCUCAAUAGGGUUGAGAUCCGGUGACUGUGCUGGUCACUCCAUUAUAGACAUACCAGCUGACUGCUUCUUCCCUAAAUAGUUAUUACAUAGUUUGGAGCUGUGCUUUGGGCCAUUGUCCUGUUGUAGGAGGAAAUUGGGUCCAAUUAAGCGCCGUCCACAGAGUAUGGCAUGCUGUUGCAAAAUAGAGUGAUAGCCUUCCUUCUUCAAGAUCCCUUUUACCCUGUACAAAUCUCCCACUUUACCACCACCAAAGCACCCCCAGACCAUCACAUUGCAUCCACCAUGCUUGACAGAUGGCGUCAAGCACUCCUCCAGCAUCUUUUCAUUUUUUCUGCAUCUCACAAAUGUUCUUCUUUGUGAUCCGAACUCCUCAAACUUAGAUUUGUCUGUCCAUAACACUUUUUUACAAUCUUCCUCUGUCCAGUGUCUGUGUUAUUUUGCUCAUCUUAAUCUUUUAUUUUUAUUGGCCAGUCUGAGAUAUGGCUUUUUCUUUGCAACUCUGCCUAGAAGGCCAGCAUCCCGGAGUUGCGUCUUCAAUGUUGACGUUGAGACUGGUGUUUUGCGGGUACUAUUUAAUGAAGCUGCCAGUUGAGGACUUGUGAGGCAUCUGUUUCUCAAACUACACACUCUAGGGUACUUGUCCUCUUGCUCAGUUGUGCACCGGGGCCUCCCACUCCUCUUUCUAUUCUGGUUAGAGACAGUUUGCGCUGUUCUGUGAAGGGAGUAGUACACAGCGUUGUGUGAGAUCUUCAGUUUCUUGGUAGUUUCUCGCAUGGAAUAACCUUCAUUUCACAGAACAAGAAUAAACUGACAAGUUUCAGAAGACAGGUCUUUGUUUCUGGCCAUUUUGAGCCUGUAAUCGAACCCACAAAUGCUGAUGCUCCAAAUACUCAACCAGUCUAAAGAAGGCCAGUUUUAUUGCUUCUUUAAUCAGAACAACAGUUUUCAGCCGUGCUAACAUAAUUGCAAAAGGGUUUUCUAAUGAUCAAUUAGCCUUUUAAAAUGAUAAACUUGGAAUAGCUAACACAACGUGCCAUUGGAACACAGGAGUGAUGGUUGCUGAUAAUGGGCCUCUGUACGCCUAUGUAGAUAUUCCAUUACAAAUCUGCCGUUUCCAGCUACGAUAGUCAUUUACAACAUUAACAAUGUCUACACUGUAUUUCUGAUCAACUUGAUGUUAUUUGAACGGACAAAAAAUUAGUUUUUCUUUCAAAAACAAGGACAUUUCUAAGUGACCCCAAACUUUUGAACGGUAGUGUAUUUCCUAUGCUAUAACAGAACAAGGUCAAAACAUAAUGAUAUAAAACAAUUAUAUAAUAAGAUGAGGAUUGUUCCUUUAGUUCUUUUUGUUUGUAGUUUGGGUCACCCAGGUGGUCAAAAGUAAUAGAAAUGGAAUGAAUGGGAAUGUCCGUUCUAAUAAUUCUAUUUCUAUGGUCAGGGUGGCGCCCCAGCUCUUCUCCCAGCUUUGCACUCUUAUCUUAACCAGCCAAGGAAGUCUAAAUAGAGGAGCGACUACACUAAGCCAUUUCCAGUAUUUGGUCAUAAUAAACAAUGACUGUUCCAAAACUUUGUUUUUAAAUUGGUAAGAUAUUGACAUUCAUCGUCAUGGUUUUUCAUAGUUUGUGAUCUCCACUGUUACGCAGCCAUGUUGGAAUAAGACAUGUGAGGAAACAGUCCCCUCACAUGUUAAAUCAAUAUAAGUGCAUUAUGUGCUAUACAGUUGCAUGGUUAAUAACAUAGGUGGAGGAACAACAAUAAUUGCAAUACAAGAAUGAGAAUAUGAAGUCAGCUUAUUAAAACCUAUAAAGCUAUAAGAAUGUACAUAUUAAAAACAAAUGAUGAUGAUUUCCUGUAAAUGUACUUUGUUAUGUCAUUAAAAUGCAUCAUAAAUAGACUUUUAAAUAUAAACACUCCUUUUCUAUCUAACAUUAAUUUACAAUUAUAAACUGGGUGGUUUGAGCCCUGAAUUCUGAUUGGCUGACAGCCGUGGUAUAUCAGACCAUAUACCACGGGUAUGACAAAACAUUUAUUUUUACUGCUCUAAUUUUGUUGGUAACCAGUUUAUAAUAGCAAUAAGGAACCUUGGGGGUUUGUGGUAUAUGGCCAAUAUACCACGACUAAGGGCUGUAUCCAGGCACUCCGCGUUGCGUCGUGAUUAAGAACAGCCCUUAGCCGUGGCACAUUGGCCACAUACCAAUCCCACUCGGGCCUUAUUGCUUAAUUAUAUAACACUGGUAACUGUUGGGACUCAUAGAAAACUAAUAUAAAACACAUCAACACCAUGUAAGAAGUCAAACAGGCUACUCACUAUGUGUUGUGAGAUUUACUCAAGAAUGUAUAUCAUUUCAACAUUUAGAAAUGUAUUUACCAAAUGAAUUUUACCAGCAAAAGGGUUGUGGAUUGUAAAGGACAAAUGGAUGUAAAGGACAAAUUAGUGGAGGUCAACAUUUGUAAUUGUACUGGCCCAAUCAGAGUCCUGCAUCUGUGCCUACUGUGUCUUAUAUGCUACAUGUCAAUCAAUAAAUGCACAGUGUAUAAUAUUUCUCAAUCAUUGUUACUUCUAUAAUAGUAGUGGUUGGUUGUCUUCCUUGACUGAUCACAGUCUCUGUCUAUUCAUACAAAAUCCUGACACCUAUGUGUCUGCAAGAAGAGGUGACUCAGACCAGGUUUAUGGGAUAUACUUAAAUGCCACCAUUGUCAAUUAGGUGUCCUACUUCCAGGGGCUUUCUGGAUGUAUCAGAGAGGAUGAGCCAGGUCAGAGUCAAGGGUCAACAGUGAACCCGCGUCAGAGUUCAGAUGUCAGCCUGGGGUGCUGAGGGAGCAAGAGGACAUGUUGCCUGGGGGACUUCCAGUUCCUGAGGGUCCAAUACUGACUCAAUGUGACUGAGGAGGGAGGAGAAGAACGGAGGCACUCCCUCGUAGCCUGGAAGAGGGGAAUGGAAACAUAGGGAUGAUGAGAGAUAGAGAGAGAACAU